AAGGUCUUAGCUUAAUUAAAGCAUCUGGUUUGCAUUCAGAAGAUACAGGUUAAUGUCUUGUAGGCCUUA
rnacentral:tRNA from 1 species